rnacentral:lncRNA from 1 species
CUCAAAAUAGCUGAGAUGGCAAACCCCUGACACGGGGCUCAAUUAACGUUAUUGAUUGGAUGCUGAAAAUCAAGCUGGGUUUGUAAGAAUGCUGGAGUAGUCAGCUAAGAGGAGAAAGUGAAGAGGCAUUCCAGGACAGAGACUCCCAUAAACAACAACACUGAGGUAGAAAGGAGCCUGAGAGAGACAAGGAGCCAGCAGAAGGCCCUGGCUGGCUGGGAAGCAGAAAGAGAAAAACCUGGGAGAUUCAAAGCAAUCCCCUCCUUGGUACAAUACAGAGCCAUAACUGAGCAUGACCCAUAGUCCCUUCCCUGCGCCAUAAUAAUCCCAGACACCAGUUCCCAGCCCUCAAAUUCAUCCUGACAGGACACAAGCAAGACCUGACUCAGCUCCAAUGGGCAGCAAGCAGGCAGCCUCUGCUUCCCCAGCCAGGGCAUGCCUGACGGUCACCCUUCCGGGCCACGCAUGCCUUCUGAUGGGAAGAGUAAGGGACCCCAUUCAUCCUCUGCAUACUCACCCCGCCUCUUUGCAACGGGCUAUUUAAUCUCCACUGUGUGGACUCCAACACCGUCUCAAUGAAAUGCAGAUCCCUCAGCCAUGAUUGUCUCGCUGGUGCUCCUCCAUCUUCCUGCUAUCAACAGCUCUGCUGUCCAGGCUAUGGCUGUAAAUCACGAAGGCUCUCCUUUAUCACAACGCCCUUCGACCUUUGGCCACACCUGUCAGCAUCCUCCGGACUCUGUUUGCUGAGCCAACAUCAGUGGCUCACUCAUGCAGGCAAACCCAGCCUUGGAUAGAUCACGGCCAUUUAGUCAACAGGGGAACUGGAAUUUGAAACUGUCUACCUCCAGAGUCCUGUGUAGUGGAUGUUCUGCCAGUACCCCUCAGCCAAACCCAUGCGCAGGUAAUCCUCACGUGUUCCUGGGGAAUGUCUGCUGGCAGGGAGCACUCUUACCCAUCCACCAGGCAGCCCAGGUACCAAGGAAAGCCA